UACGUAGGGUGCGAGCGUUAAUCGGAAUUACUGGGCGUAAAGCGCGCGCAGGCGGCGCGUUAAGACAGGUGUGAAAGCCCCGAGCUUAACUUGGGAAUUGCGCUUGUGACUGGCGAGCUGGAGUGUGGCAGAGGGAGGUGGAAUUCCACGUGUAGCAGUGAAAUGCGUAGAGAUGUGGAGGAAUACCGAUGGCGAAGGCAGCCCCCUGGGAUGACACUGACGCUCAUGCACGAAAGCGUGGGGAGCAAACAGG
rnacentral:rRNA from 1 species